ACGAACGCUGGCGGCGUGCCUAAUACAUGCAAGUCGAACGGUCUUUCUAUGGAAGCUUGCUUCCGCUGAGAAGAUAGUGGCGAACGGGUGAGUAACACGUGGGUAACCUGCCCAUAAGAGGGGGAUAACAUCCGGAAACGGGUGCUAAUACCGCAUAGUUUUCUUGAUCGCAUGAUCGGGAAAGGAAAGACGGCCUUUGUGCUGUCGCUUAUGGAUGGACCCGCGGCGUAUUAGUUAGUUGGUGAGGUAACGGCUCACCAAGACGAUGAUACGUAGCCGACCUGAGAGGGUGAUCGGCCACAUUGGGACUGAGACACGGCCCAAACUCCUACGGGAGGCAGCAGUAGGGAAUCUUCCGCAAUGGACGAAAGUCUGACGGAGCAACGCCGCGUGAGUGAAGAAGGUUUUCGGAAUCGUAAAACUCUGUUGUCAGAGAAGAACAAGUUGGAGAGUAACUGCUCCAGCCUUGACGGUAUCUGACCAGAAAGCCACGGCUAACUACGUGCCAGCAGCAGC
rnacentral:rRNA from 1 species